GCCUCACACGUCAUACUUCAACUGACACAACGGUCUCGAUGGGUAAGAUUUCGUUACCAUAUACAGUAAAUAUUGGUUCAAGAGGGCAGUUUGAUAACUCAGUCGAGGUUUGUAAAUGGGGUUUCUGUUCCUGCAGUCUUUCAGGGGUGCUGGCGCGUAUGACGAUGCGGACAUGAACAGCAUACUACAGUAUACCGCCACCUACUGUACUGUAGUACAAUAACGUCUUUUAAACAUCUAAACAUGUCCUCCAAAAAGGUUUCCUGUGCUGUUUUGCUCCAUUUUACUGAACAAAAUAAGGCUGAGGUAGCACCAUCCUUGUGGUUAGAGUGAAAGAAUGUGGGUAUUGAGACCAAAAUAAACAAUGUGCCAUUCUGGACAAACAGCUGUGGACAAUAUGCAGUCAGAGUAGCCCAUUUUCUCACACAGACCUGAGGAUAAGAUUUCCAGUUUGAAAGUGAAGAAAAUGAAUCAUUAUUAACAGCAAAUAGGAGUAUUUCUCAGCUGAAAAGCCAGGUGAAACUAUAAGGUCACUAUGAUUCACUUUCAUAUUAUCAUUCUUUUCAGAUUUUUUUCCCUGUGUUUUUUUUGUUAGAUGAGGAGCAACCACUAAGAAAAAGCAAAAAGAUGUUUUGAUGUUGCCUGAGGCACCUUAUUCACAUCAAUCAAUUUCUUCCAACCAGCGAAUCAAGAAAUCUUGGAGUGGAGAAUCAUUUUGAAAGUAGACCAAAUCCAGGACAACAUCACAACAGUGGUCGGAAAAAUGCAGCAAGCCAAGCUGACUUUCAAAAGAUGAUUCGUUAUCUGUUUCUUCAGAGGGGAGGCAGUUUGGGAGAUGGGAAUUAGGAGGAUGCUACAGUUACACAGGGCAAAUUUCAGCAGCUCAGUUUCAAACUUGCAACUAACAUUGAGUUAUAGUUAGAAGACCACGGAAAUAUUUGACAUCGGAGUCCAGCAGACAGCCAGAGACACGCACACACACGCAGCUGAAGCGCGUUUGACUGACGCGUACGGGAGAUCCGGCACGCGCACGGGAGCUCGCGCACGCUCACACAAACACGGAGCACAGGAUAAUUACAACUGUUUAAUUAAAAUAAAAGAACUUUGUGGUAUACAAUGUUUAGCGUGUCUGAUUUCAUUGGUUAGCAAGGAAAUAAAACGACGUGCUGAGGACUUUAGGCGAACGUCCCCUAAAAGUCCCGAAAGUCCGCUGACCGUCCCGCGAACGUCCUCGCAAAAGUCCGGAGGACGUCCUCGCGGAAGUCCGCUCGACGUAACGGGAACCAUACACGAUGACGUUCGGGGGACGUUCGCCUAAAGUGCUUAGCAUGUUAUUUAGCUUACAAAAAAGG